rnacentral:lncRNA from 1 species
UUAUGGAUCAUCUUCUUGCCCAAGACAACUGGGGGUCAAGUAACAGAUGGCAUAUCUUGUUGCUGUUGGAAGGUGGGGGGCCAAACUGCCAUGGUCGGAUGCAUCACUGGCUGCUAUCAGUGAAGAAGAUGAAGUGCGUGGAGGCAUAUACGCGUAAUACAAGGAGAUAGAAAUGUGGGUCAUUUGAAAGGAAUGUCUCUACAGCC